AUCGACCCCGUGCACAGCCACCGCGUGCCCGUGGACGUGGCCUACCAGCGCGGCUACUUCGACGAGGAGAUGAACCGCGUGCUGGAGGACCCCAGCGACGACACCAAGGGCUUCUUCGACCCCAACACGCACGAGAACCUCACGUACAUGCAGCUGCUCCAGAGGGCUACUCGUGACCCUGAAUCGGGGCUGUUAUUUCUUUCUCUCACUGGAAAAUGAUUGUUCAUCGUCUUGACCAGAUUUUUUUCGUUUGUUAAUAAUACAUUACAGUUUUUUACGAUUUGUAUCAUCAUAUACCUGUUCUUUAUGUUUUUCUUGCAUGUUAAUUACCUUCCUUGCUUUCACCUAGUUUUGAUUGUAAUCGCUUAUAUUAGUCCAUUUCCAUUAAAGUCAUGACCUUAUCGUCUAUUUUUUCUAUGGAGUUUUGAAUUUACAGUUCUUUGCAAUUACUCCUGUGAAAUCUCUGUAGUAUCUACGUUAUUUCGUAUCAAGGGUUCCUUUCUGUUUAUCUGCACCUAUCAUAGUUGAGAGGCCUUCCCUGGUGGCUCAUAUUGGAAAAGUGUCUGCCUAUAAUAUGGGAGACCUAGGUUCAAUCCCUUGAUGGGAAAGAUCCCCUCGAUAUGGAAAUGACAACUCACUCUGAUAACUCUUGCCUGGAAAAUCCCAUGUUUCAAGAAGCCUGAUAGUCUAUAGUCCACGAGGUUGCAAAAGCUGUAUGUAACUGAGUGACUUCACUUUCACUUUUUACCACAGUAGAGGCUGCGCACGUUUUGUUAAAAUCCCAUUUCAUCUAAAUGGCUUCUUUAUAUUGAUUUUUCUUUUUUCUGAUUUGACUAAACCAUUUUCUAUCAAUUUCUUGGUUUAGUAAAUGCUUGUGGCUCUCAGUUUGCUGUCCUCCUGCCCUGGUUUUCCAUGGUAGUGCUGUGCUUUGCAGAGGCUGGGCUCAUUCUGUCACUCGAUACCACUGUUCCUGUUAGCCUGACCCCCUGUGCGUUCUCCUCAUCAGAUUUGUUUGGUGGUGUGGCCUUUACAGUGAUCAGUAAUCACUUCCUUCCUCAGUGAUCAGUGCAAAGAAAUAGAGGAAAACAAUAGAACGGGAAAGACUAGAGAUUUCAAGAAAAUUAGAACUACCAAGGGAACAUUUCAUGCAAUGAUGGGCUCAAUAAAGGACAGAAAGGGUAUGGACCUAACAGAAGCAGAAGAUAUUAAGAAGUGGUAAGAAUACACAGAAUUGUACAAAAAAGAUCUCCAUGACCCAGAUAAUCAUGAUGGUGUGAUCCCUCACCUAGAUCCCAACAUCUGGAAUGUAAAGUCAAGUGGACCUUAGGAAGCAUCACUGCAAACAAAGCUAGCGGUGGUGAUGGAAUGCCAGUGGAGCUAUUUCAAAUCCUGAAAGAUGAUGCUGUGAAAGUGCUGCACUCAAUAUGCCAGCAAAUUUGGAAUACUCAGCAGUGGCCACAAGACUGGAAAAUGUCAGUUUUCAUUCCAAUCCCAAAGAAAGGCCAUGCCAAAGAAUGCUCAAACUACCGCACAAUUGCACUCAUCUCACGUUAGUAAAGUAAUCCUCAAAAUUCUCCAAGCCAGUCUUCAGCAAUACGUGAACCAUGAACUUCCAGAUGUUCAAGCUGGUUUUAGAAAAGGCAGGGGAACCAGAGAUCAAAUUGAUAACAUCCACAGGAUCAUGGAAAAAGCAAGAGAGUCCCAGAAAAAUAUCUUUCUGCUUAAUGACUAUCCCAAAGCCUUUGACUGUGUGGAUCACAAUAAACUGUGGAAAAUUUUUCAAGAGAUGGGAAAUUGGACCAUCUGACCUGCCUCUUUAGAAUCCUGUAUGCAGGUCAGGAAGCAACAGUUAGAACUGGACAUGGAACAACAGACUGGUUCCAAAUAGGAAAAGGAGUACAUCAAGGCUGUAUAUUGUCACCAUGUAUAUUUAACUAAUGUGCAGAGCACAUCAUGUGAAACGCUGGGCUGUAUGAGGCACAAGCUAGAAUCAAGCUUGCCAGGAGAAAUAUCAAUAACCUCAGAUAUGCAGAUGAUCCCACCCUUAUGGCAGAAACUGAAGAAGAAAUGAAAAGCCUCUUGAUGAAAGUGAAAGAGGAGAGUGAAAAUUUUGACUUAAAGCUCAACAUUCAAAAAACUAAGAACAUGGUAUCCGGUCCCAUCACUUCAUGACAAAUAGAUGUGGAAACGGUGGCUGACUUUAUUUUUUAGGGCUCCAAAAUCACUGCAGAUGGUGACUGCACCCAUGAAAUUAAAAGACGCUUACUCCUUGGAAGAAAAGUUAUGACCAACCUAGACAGCAUAUUAAAAAGCAGAAACAUUACUUUGCAACAUAGGUCCGUCUCAUUAAGACUGUGGUUUUUCCAGUAGUCAUUUAUGGAUGUGAGAGUUGGACUAUAAAGAAAGCUGACCACAGAAUAAUUGAUGCUUUUGAACUGUGGUGUUGGAGAAGAUUCUUGAGAGUCCCUUGGACUGCAAGGAGAUCAAACCAGUAUAUCCUAAAGGAGAUCAGUCCUGAGUGUUCAUUGGAAGUCCUGAUGUUGAAGCUGAAGCUCCAAUACUUUGGCCACCUGAUGCGAAGAGUUGACUCAGUUGAAAAGACCCUGAUGCUGGGAAAGAUUGAAGAGACAUGUGUUCCUUAAGCGAGGAGGGACAGACGCUUCUCUGUGGCCUGACCUCAGAUCCUCGCGGUGCAACCCCGGGCUACGCGGGCUGCCCCUCGACCUGCUCCACGCUGUCUUCACCCCAAGGCGGGAGCCCGGGGACCAUGUCAGGUUUCCCGAUGUGCUUGACGGAGUGAGGCACGGAAGCAGUGCAGGAAGUACGAGCGGCUUCCAGAGCUGGGCAGAGCCCGUGAGCGCAGCCCAGCGAGCGUUCGGGGAGGCCCCAACGGACCUGGCCUCAGGCGGGUACGGAAACCCCCGCGCUCGGGUCUCCGGGCUAAGGCUGGUCCCUGGGCAGCCGAGAGCUGCGCGUCCCAGCAGAAGCCUGGCUGGGACCCAGGCGGGCGGGGCCUCCGGAGGGGCGGGGCUGUGGACUGGCGGGCGGGGCCCUAGGUGCAGUGGGCGGGGCCUUCGUG
ensembl:lncRNA